UACGUAGGUGGCGAGCGUUGUCCGGAUUUACUGGGCGUAAAGAGCGCGCAGGCGGCUGGUCAAGUCCGAUGUGAAAGUUCCCGGCUUAACUGGGAAAUUGCAUCGGAAACUGAUCGGCUGGAAGGUGGGAGAGGGUAGCGGAAUUCCCGGUGUAGUGGUGAAAUGCGUAGAUAUCGGGAGGAACACCUGUGGCGAAAGCGGCGCACUGGACCACAACUGACGCUGAGGCGCGAAAGCUAGGGGAGCAAACAGG
rnacentral:rRNA from 1 species